UUAAGCGACUAAGCGUACACGGUGGAUGCCCUGGCAGUCAGAGGCGAUGAAGGACGUGCUAAUCUGCGAAAAGCGUCGGUAAGGUGAUAUGAACCGUUACAGCCGGCGAUGUCCGAAUGGGGAAACCCAGUGCAAUUCGUUGCACUAUCGUUAACUGAAUACAUAGGUUAACGAGGCGAACCGGGGGAACUGAAACAUCUAAGUACCCCGAGGAAAAGAAAUCAACCGAGAUUCCCCCAGUAGCGGCGAGCGAACGGGGAGCAGCCCAGAGUCUGAAUCAGCUUGUGUUAGUGGAACGGUCUGGAAAGUCCGACGGUACAGGGUGAUAGUCCCGUACACCAAAAUGCACAGGUUGUGAACUCGAAGAGUAGGGCGGGACACGUGGUAUCCUGUCUGAAUAUGGGGGGACCAUCCUCCAAGGCUAAAUACUCCUGACUGACCGAUAGUGAACCAGUACCGUGAGGAAAGGCGAAAAGAACCCCGGCGAGGGAGUGAAAAGAACCUGAAACCGUGUACGUACAAGCAGUGGGAGCACCUUCGGGUGUGACUGCGUACCUUUGUAUAAUGGGUCAGCGACUUAUAUUCUGUAGCAAGGUUAACCGUAUAGGGGAGCCGCAGGGAAACCGAGUCUUAACUGGGCGUUAAGUUGCAGGGUAUAGACCCGAAACCCGGUGAUCUAGCCAUGGGCAGGUUGAAGGUUGGGUAACACUAACUGGAGGACCGAACCGACUAAUGUUGAAAAAUUAGCGGAUGACUUGUGGCUGGGGGUGAAAGGCCAAUCAAACCGGGAGAUAGCUGGUUCUCCCCGAAAGCUAUUUAGGUAGCGCCUCGUGAACUCAUCUUCGGGGGUAGAGCACUGUUUCGGCUAGGGGGUCAUCCCGACUUACCAACCCGAUGCAAACUACGAAUACCGAAGAAUGUUAUCACGGGAGACACACGGCGGGUGCUAACGUCCGUCGUGAAGAGGGAAACAACCCAGACCGCCAGCUAAGGUCCCAAAGUCAUGGUUAAGUGGGAAACGAUGUGGGAAGGCACAGACAGCCAGGAUGUUGGCUUAGAAGCAGCCAUCAUUUAAAGAAAGCGUAAUAGCUCACUGGUCGAGUCGGCCUGCGCGGAAGAUGUAACGGGGCUAAACCAUGCACCGAAGCUGCGGCAGCGACACUAUGUGUUGUUGGGUAGGGGAGCGUUCUGUAAGCCUGCGAAGGUGUGCUGUGAGGCAUGCUGGAGGUAUCAGAAGUGCGAAUGCUGACAUAAGUAACGAUAAAGCGGGUGAAAAGCCCGCUCGCCGGAAGACCAAGGGUUCCUGUCCAACGUUAAUCGGGGCAGGGUGAGUCGACCCCUAAGGCGAGGCCGAAAGGCGUAGUCGAUGGGAAACAGGUUAAUAUUCCUGUACUUGGUGUUACUGCGAAGGGGGGACGGAGAAGGCUAUGUUAGCCGGGCGACGGUUGUCCCGGUUUAAGCAUGUAGGCUGGUUAUCCAGGCAAAUCCGGAUAAUCAAGGCUGAGGUGUGAUGACGAGGCACUACGGUGCUGAAGUAACAAAUGCCCUGCUUCCAGGAAAAGCCUCUAAGCAUCAGGUAACAUCAAAUCGUACCCCAAACCGACACAGGUGGUCAGGUAGAGAAUACCAAGGCGCUUGAGAGAACUCGGGUGAAGGAACUAGGCAAAAUGGUGCCGUAACUUCGGGAGAAGGCACGCUGGUGUAGGUGAAGUCCCUGCGGAUGGAGCUGAGACCAGUCGAAGAUACCAGCUGGCUGCAACUGUUUAUUAAAACACAGCACUGUGCAAACACGAAAGUGGACGUAUACGGUGUGACGCCUGCCCGGUGCCGGAAGGUUAAUUGAUGGGGUUAUCCGUAAGGAGAAGCUCUUGAUCGAAGCCCCGGUAAACGGCGGCCGUAACUAUAACGGUCCUAAGGUAGCGAAAUUCCUUGUCGGGUAAGUUCCGACCUGCACGAAUGGCGUAAUGAUGGCCAGGCUGUCUCCACCCGAGACUCAGUGAAAUUGAACUCGCUGUGAAGAUGCAGUGUACCCGCGGCAAGACGGAAAGACCCCGUGAACCUUUACUAUAGCUUGACACUGAACAUUGAGCCUUGAUGUGUAGGAUAGGUGGGAGGCUUUGAAGCGUGGACGCCAGUCUGCGUGGAGCCAACCUUGAAAUACCACCCUUUAAUGUUUGAUGUUCUAACGUUGGCCCCUGACCGGGGUUGCGGACAGUGUCUGGUGGGUAGUUUGACUGGGGCGGUCUCCUCCCAAAGCGUAACGGAGGAGCACGAAGGUUAGCUAAUCCUGGUCGGACAUCAGGAGGUUAGUGCAAUGGCAUAAGCUAGCUUGACUGCGAGCGUGACGGCGCGAGCAGGUGCGAAAGCAGGUCAUAGUGAUCCGGUGGUUCUGAAUGGAAGGGCCAUCGCUCAACGGAUAAAAGGUACUCCGGGGAUAACAGGCUGAUACCGCCCAAGAGUUCAUAUCGACGGCGGUGUUUGGCACCUCGAUGUCGGCUCAUCACAUCCUGGGGCUGAAGUAGGUCCCAAGGGUAUGGCUGUUCGCCAUUUAAAGUGGUACGCGAGCUGGGUUUAGAACGUCGUGAGACAGUUCGGUCCCUAUCUGCCGUGGGCGCUGGAGAAUUGAGGGGGGCUGCUCCUAGUACGAGAGGACCGGAGUGGACGCAUCACUGGUGUUCGGGUUGUCAUGCCAAUGGCACUGCCCGGUAGCUAAAUGCGGAAGAGAUAAGUGCUGAAAGCAUCUAAGCACGAAACUUGCCCCGAGAUGAGUUCUCCCUGAGACUAUAAGUCUCCUGAAGGAACGUUAAAGACGAUGACGUUGAUAGGCCGGGUGUGUAAGCGCAGCGAUGCGUUGAGCUAACCGGUACUAAUGAACCGUGAGGCUUAACCU
rnacentral:rRNA from 1 species